UCCCCAGCUGCAGCGGCUCCGACGGGAUCCCCUAUCGAUCCAUCCCCGAGUGGCUGGAAUCCAUUCGCAUGAAGCGCUACAUCUCCAACUUCCGCACUGCUGGCCUGGACACCAUGGAGUCCAUUCUGGAGCUCACUGCUGAGGACUUGAAACAGAUGGGAGUGUCACUUCCAGGCCACCAGAAGAGGAUCCUGUGUAGCAUCCAAGGCUUUAAGGAGUGAUCAGCCGUUGCUCUCUUGAGCUUGCUAAAUGCCUAUUCUUACCAGAUAUCACUUGGAAUCAUUCCUAUGGCAAUUGCUUCCAAAUGAGUGACUGGGACGAGCAAAGCAAAACAACCAGAACUGGAAAGGCUUCUGAGGCAACACCACCUGCUCUCAUUUCUGUUGCCCUUUGCUUCGGCUCUACAGUGGCCACCAGUAUGUUUCAGAGCACUGGUCUUAGAAACUGUUCUCAGCCCUGUCUCUUCCGUAGCCCGUUCUGUGCAGCAAUAAGUCAUCCCUCUAGUCCACAUACUGGAGUUUCAGACCCUCAGUAUAUCACACGGAAACGUAAGGAUACAUACAGAGUGAGUUGGAGGCAGUGGAUAAUGUUUUAAGUUUGGAGAUGAGGGUUCAGGGAGACUGGGCCAUUCAGAGAACACGCACAAGGACACAGAGAUGGAGAGACUGGGCCCGUUGGCUCCUUGGCCUACAUCCCUUCUCACUUCAGCAGCCUUCUGUCUGCCUUGUUUCACAACACCAACAAACUAUUCAGUCUUUCACGAGGCUCCUGGUAAGGGAUAUGUGUUUGUUUUGUUUUGUUUUGUUAAUUCAGCUAUUCUUGCCUUAAACACCAACUGGUGGUGUACUUCUUUCUUUGGAGGAGAAGUUGGGAGUAGCAGCACACCCUGCUGUAACUUGUGUGAUCCUGUAAGCUCAGCACCUUGCUGUUUUGCACAAGCACACUUCAGCCGGGAGAUGUACAUCUCUCCAACCUGCUCGAUACCUUUACUUGUGCCAUGGACAGAAAACCCUUUACAUACCCAUUUUCCUCUGCCCCUUUUUAAAAGAGACAAUAGUGUUGUUUGGCUGGAUAGGGUAUUUGUAACAGAAAAAUGUGUAGGUGGUCUGUCUUAUUCCUUCUCUAUGGAGGAAAUGUUAUUAUUUAUCAGAGCUCAAGACAAUUAUAGACUGUAAAUAAUAUUUUGUAAAUAAACCUGUGGCAGGGCA